rnacentral:misc_RNA from 1 species
UUUCCGUAGGUGAACCUGCGGAAGGAUCAUUAUUGAGAUGUAACGGCGCCCUGUUAGUUGUUGCAAUGUAGAGUCAGUGCUGGCUUCUGAAGUAUGUGCACGCUUUACUUGUAGCUCUAACUUGGUGAUAACCGUUUCUUAUCCAUCCACCUGUGCACUUUUUGUAGGAGUUUUUAUUAGGUUGACUUUCAAGUCGAAAGACUUUGUUAGUUGGCAUAAUAGGACUUCUAUGUCUUUACAGACCAUUGAAGUAUGUCUAGAAUGUCAUUUUACUGGGACUUCAUUGACCCUUUAAACUUUAUACAACUUUCAGCAACGGAUCUCUUGGCUCUC